UACGUACAUCCGAGGGUCG
rnacentral:rRNA from 1 species